GGAGAAAGUGUUCAAAGAGCCACGCGCGGAGGACGGAGACUGAUCUUUCCGGGAGACCGCGUUGCGGUCUCCAAGGAUGAGUCUCCAUCAUAUUCAUUUGUUGGAAAGCCUUUUGUUGCCUUAAAGUUUGAUCAAGAAGUCUGAGUCUUGGUGUUUCACCUCUUGUUGAGCCAGGAAUAAGAGUAGUAGUACUGUCCUUUUCUCCCAUAGCCAUUUUUGUGGCCUUAAUUUGUGCCACAAUACCAUCUCUUAAACAUCUAAAAUGCCUUGACAUAGCUCUUGAUGCUAAGGCUGAGUAAACUGUUGCUGCUCCAUUUCCAGCCACUGCUUCAAAUGAUGAUAC
rnacentral:misc_RNA from 1 species